rnacentral:rRNA from 1 species
CAGUAGCCGCGGGAAAACGUAGGUGGCAAGCGUUGUCCGGAAUUAUUGGGCGUAAAGGGCUCGCAGGCGGUUUCUUAAGUCUGAUGUGCAAGCCCCCGGCUCAACCGGGGAGGGUCAUUGGAAACUGGGAAACUUGAGUGCAGAAGAGGAGAGUGGAAUUCCACGUGUAGCGGUGAAAUGCGUAGAGAUGUGGAGGAACACCAGAGGCGAAGGCGACUCUCUGGUCUGUAACUGACGCUGAGGAGCGAAAGCGUGGGGAGCGAACAGGAUUAGAUACCCGUGUAGUCCCUGUCUCUUAUAU